ACGGAAGGCAGCAGUGGGGAAUAUUGGGCAAUGGGCGCAAGCCUGACCCAGCAACGCCGCGUGAAGGAAGAAGGCUUUCGGGUUGUAAACUUCUUUUGUAAGGGACGAGAAGAAGACGGUACCUUAUGAAUAAGCCGCGGCUAACUACGUGCCAGCAGCCGCGGUAAUACGUAGGUGGCAAGCGUUAUCCGGAUUUACUGGGUGUAAAGGGCGCGUAGGCGGGGAUGCAAGUCAGGUGUGAAAUCUAUGGGCUUAACCCAUAAACUGCAUUUGAAACUGUAUCUCUUGAGUGUCGGAGAGGUAGAUGGAAUUCCUAGUGUAGCGGUGAAAUGCGUAGAUAUUAGGAGGAACACCAGUGGCGAAGGCGAUCUACUGGACGAUAACUGACGCUGAGGCGCGAAAGCGUGGGGAGCAAACAGGAUUAGAUACCCUGGUA
rnacentral:rRNA from 1 species